rnacentral:rRNA from 1 species
CAGUGAGCCGCCUUCGCCACUGGUGUUCUUCCAUAUAUCUACGCAUUCCACCGCUACACAUGGAGUUCCACUCUCCUCUUCUGCACUCAAGAUUGACAGUUUCUGAUGCAGUUCUUCGGUUGAGCCGAAGGCUUUCACAUCAGACUUAUCAAUCCGCCUGCGCUCGCUUUACGCCCAAUAAAUCCGGACAACGCUUGCACCCUCCGUAUUACCGCGGCUGCUGGCACGGAGUUAGCCGGUGCUUAUUCACCAGGUACCGUCGUCGACCCACGCAUGGGCCUUAUUCUUCCCUGGCAAAAGCAGUUUACGACUCAGAAAGCCUUCAUCCUGCACGCGGCAUGGCUGGGUCAGGAUUGCUCCCAUUGCCCAAUAUUCCCUACUGCUGCCUCCCGUAGGAGUCGGGCCCGUAUCUCAGUGCCCGUGUGGGGGACCAGCCUCUCAGCUCCCCUAAGCAUCGUCGCCUUGGUGGGCCGUUACCCCGCCAACUAGCUAAUGCUACGCAACCCCAUCCUUGACCAAAAAAUCUUUAA